rnacentral:rRNA from 1 species
AAGCUAAUACCUUAAUCAUUUGACGUUACCUACAGAAGAAGCACCGGCUAACUCCGUGCCAGCAGCCGCGGUAAUACGGAGGGUGCAAGCGUUAAUCGGAAUUACUGGGCGUAAAGCGCAUGCAGGUGGUUUGUUAAGUCAGAUGUGAAAGCCCUGGGCUCAACCUAGGAAUCGCAUUUGAAACUGACAAGCUAGAGUACUGUAGAGGGGGGUAGAAUUUCAGGUGUAGCGGUGAAAUGCGUAGAG